rnacentral:lncRNA from 1 species
AGCUGUAACCAGGAGGCAGGGAAGAAGGCAAUGCAGUCCUCAUUCUUUAGAGACUCAACCUGUGUCCCCAGCCCUCCCCACCUCCUCCCACACCCCCCUCCAAACUCAGCUUGGCUGGGAAAGGAAACUCCCCAGUCUGCUGUGCUCCUGCAAGCUGAGUGUUUGCAGGAUCGCUUGAGCCCAGGAAGUCGAGGCUGCAGUGAGCCAUGAUCAUAUUUGCCAGCCUGGGUGACAGAGCAAGACCAUCUCAAAGAACGUAUUUACCGAAUGAAGUUUUAUGAUGUUCUCUAGCACUUUUUAGUUUAUUGUCUUUAAAAAGAAACCCUCUGAAGUGUCUCUGGAGAAUACAAACGCAUGCGCGCAUGCACACGCUGGGAACAGGAGCUGCUUCAGUAGGUAACUGAGUGGGAGGGAGGUUAGCUUUUCACUGUGACCCUUAUCUGUACACCUGCUAACUCAAAAUAAUUUAAUAACAACAACAAUGACAAUAAAAAGGGAGUGAGUGCUCUCAUUUU